rnacentral:misc_RNA from 1 species
UACCGAGUACUACACUCAUAACCCUUUGUGAACCAUUAUACCUGUUGCUUCGGCGGCGUCCCUCGCGGGCGCCCGCCGGUCUCAUCAGAAUCUCUGUUUUCGAACCCGACGAUACUUCUGAGUGUUCUUAGCGAACUGUCAAAACUUUUAACAACGGAUCUCUUGGCUCCAGCAUCGAUGAAGAACGCAGCGAAACGCGAUAUGUAAUGUGAAUUGCAGAAUUCAGUGAAUCAUCGAAUCUUUGAACGCACAUGGCGCCUUCCAGUAUCCUGGGAGGCAUGCCUGUCCGAGCGUCGUUUCAACCCUCGAGCCCUCGUGGCCCGGCGUUGGGGAUCUGCCACGGCAGGCCCCGAAAUACAGUGGCGGACCCGUUAGGCCCUUCCUUUGCGUAGUAGCAUUAGCCUCGCAUCGGGAGCCGGCGGGCUCUCCUGCCUCUAAACCCCCCAACAAGCCCGCUCCGGCGGCACCAAGGUUGACCUCGGAUCAGGUAGGAAUACCCGCUGAACUUAAGC